rnacentral:tRNA from 1 species
GGCCAGUUAGCUCAGUUGGUAGAGCAGCGGACUGAAAAUCCGCGUGUCCGUGGUUCGAUCCCGCGACUGGCCACCA